rnacentral:rRNA from 1 species
GACGAACGCUGGCGGCGUGCUUAACACAUGCAAGUCGAGCGGUAAGGCUCCUUCGGGAGUACACGAGCGGCGAACGGGUGAGUAACACGUGAGUAAUCUGCCCUUCACUUCGGGAUAAGCCUCGGAAACGAGGUCUAAUACCGGAUACGACCGCCUCCUGCAUGGGAUGGUGGUGGAAAGUUUUUUCGGUGGAGGAUGUGCUCGCGGCCUAUCAGCUUGUUGGUGGGGUAAUGGCCUACCAAGGCUUCGACGGGUAGCCGGCCUGAGAGGGUGACCGGCCACACUGGGACUGAGACACGGCCCAGACUCCUACGGGAGGCAGCAGUGGGGAAUAUUGGACAAUGGGCGGAAGCCUGAUCCAGCAACGCCGCGUGAGGGAUGACGGCCUUCGGGUUGUAAACCUCUUUCAGCGGGGACGAAGCGCAAGUGACGGUACCCGCAGAAGAAGCACCGGCCAACUACGUGCCAGCCGCCGCAGUAACAC